rnacentral:tRNA from 1 species
GACUCGGUAGCUUAGUUGGCAAAGAACUCGUCUAGCAUACAAGAGUCUUGGGUUCGCAUCCCAGCUGAGCA